GGUGAUUCUGAUUGGAGGGGAAAAAGGAAACGACAUUCCUUUAAAAGAAGUGAUCAUGUUCGACAUAAAAUCAGGAAAGUAUAGCAUGCUUCCCUCCAUGAAUCAUGCAAGGAGAGGUUCCUCAGCUAUUAUCUCCGGUGACCUCAUUCUUGUGAUAGGCGGCUACGGUAAUAAAGGAGCAACCAGAUCAGUGGAACGUUAUGACGUCAGCGAGAAAAGUUGGAAAGACCUACCGUCCAUGAAAGAAGCACGUGGUCACACAACUGCCGUUGUAUGCCCAACGUUUUGACUGCCUGAGUGAAAUUGACAAUGGUGUCUGGACAUUGAGUGCAAGGAAUUAAGUUUUCAUAUUGAUUUAGAUUCGGAUUUGCCAAGCAAAAAUUAACAAAAUAAAGCCGAUUAAAAAUUGCCGGCCGAAGUCAACUUUUUCCACCUUUGUGAAUAAUUUGAUUAAUUCCUAAUGUGUUUUUCCAAACAAUAUAUCCGACGGUGAUAUCUCUGUUAAGGGUUAUGCAAUAGUUCCAUAAAUUCAAGGUGUCACAGAUCCAAUCAAGAGAAUCUUAAGUAAUUGUAAUAUUAAGGUUGCCUUAAAACCCUAUUUGACUUUAGGCCAUAUUUUCGCAAAGCCAAAAGAUCCUGUUAAAACAAAUCAGAAAACUUAUGCUGUAUAUUCUAUACCAUGCGGUGACUGCGAUUUAAUUUCUAAUUCAAAUUAGCCAUCUUGAAUUUAGUGAGUAAAAACUCUCUAAACGUAUCUUUUUUUUUAAUCUUUAACUUGAAAAAAACAAUUUCUGUUCACACAUACACAAUGCUGAAUAAGUAAGUUCAAAAACAUAACUUUUGAUCAGUAAAUGUACUUCGUUACUGUAUUGAAAACCAUUUUUGAGAAGCCAGUAUGUAACAAAG